CAGGGGAGCAGAGAUCCCGAGCCCACGAGGGGUGAAAAGUGGAAGGUAGAAAACAGCAGAGAAGUUUCUUGGACAAGCACAUCCCCUGACUUCAGCAUCCAUUCUCAACAACAGUUUGUGCAGAAGAAGGUAGGAGAAGGCAGGACAUCUUCUUCUUUGUCUUUCCUAGUGAUGCUCCCAUCCACCCCAUCCAAGUGUCUGAGGAUUGGUCAUCUGUUUCAAGGUUAGAAUUUGACUCUAGCCAAUUUCAA